rnacentral:misc_RNA from 1 species
AAAGUCGUAACAAGGUUUCCGUAGGUGAACCUGCGGAAGGAUCAUUACCAAUCCAAAAAAUCAAACCCCAUGUGAACCUGUUUUGUAUGUCUUUGGGGGGCUCCUAAAAGGUUAAUCCCCUUUUUUGCCCCCCAUGUUUACUAAACCACGUUGGUCUUUUCGUUGGAAUAUCUUUUAUUAGCAAAUAAUAAAGGACAACUUUUAACGGUGGAUCUCUUGGCUCGU